rnacentral:lncRNA from 1 species
UUGGAUAUAUUUGUGUGUGCUACAUGUGUAAAACCUCUAGUGAUUAAUUAGUUGUCUGGAGCCUGGAGGAAUUCUAAAAUAUAUAUGUUCUGGUUAUGAUUUGAUGCCCUCUACAUGUUUUAUGUUAUUUACAUGGGUAUUGAAACUAUUUGCGUUCAGGUACAGCAAGAAGUUCAUGUAUGGAUGCCCCUGGAGUCCAUGUAGCUCUGCUGCCGUGCUACCCUUAUCGGCCUUGGCUAUGUACGUCAGUCCAAUACCGUCGACCCAGGCCGUUCACUAUCGCAGCGACCAGGCCGUUCAUAGAAAAAUGUUGAUUAUAUUGAUACCUAAAACUAGUCUUUGCUCACUUUUGAAUUGAAAAAGAAAAAGAAGUCUCUCUAAUAAUAAGUUCAUAGCAAAACAGAAACAAAAAUAAACAAAAAACAUGAAACACAAAAAACCCAUGAAAUUUGCAGGGAAAACAUAAUAAGUUCCAAGAAAAUAAAUAUGGAAGUUCAUAUUUCGAAACGAAUGAAGUAUUUGGGAACUAAAUGAAGUAUUUCAAAGUACAGAACUUUUGUUUAGGUUUCUUUGUGUACUUCUAAUGUUACUGUGCACGAACUUGUCGUUAUUUUUACAUGUUCUACAUGAUUACGAUCAUUUCAACCUUGAGAAAUUUCAUUUCACCUUAUAUGGUUUUUUCCGUCCAUCUUACAGGUCGAAGGAGCUCCCUUCAAUUCAGUGGAUUCAACAAAAAAAGUCCAUGCUGCCACUGCAUCUUGAGUUCAAGGGAUUCCUUAGGGGCCUUCUACACCAUCUUGCUAAUGAUGCCAUCGCUGGAUGCCACAGUCAUGCUCGUCGUUCUUGUACUGCCAUUCACAUACUGCUCCCUAUUUUACUCCAUUGAGAUCCAUAGAAAUAAGUUAUGUUCAGUUCGCCACUUUUACAAUUGAUGGUCCUAUGUUGACCGAAACAAUAGUUCAAGCUCCUAAAAAAGCAAUUAUGUGUAUGCUACAUCACUUUGAGGAACUACAACAAACAAAAUAAGGAGAUCUUGGUACUACUUGAUUUUUUAUAGCACUACUUGAACCCUUUCUGUAACCUCGUCAGAUUGUUGGAUGCAUGUGGUCCUUCUCUUGUGCAUAUUCAGUUUCAAAAUAAACGGUGAACUGAAUGGAAAAAAUCAUCCCAUCUACACUGAAAGUUCAAGAAAAGAGGAGAGCUCAUUUACAGGUAAAAAAUUCAUGUACACCUGCAGGGAAAGUUCAACUAAAAAUAGAGUUUCAUCUACACAUAAUAAAAAAAUGAUGUACAAUUGGAUGUGUGUGCAAGAAAGAACAAAUGGGGUUGAAUUCACAAA